UGGCCCACUUCCUGGCCAAGAGGACUAUUACAGCCGCCUGAAGAAGGAAAGCGACAAGCAACUGUAACUGACCAAUGGGGGGGGGGGACGCGGAGACACGCAGGAAGUUGCCCUAGGACACAGGAAGUAGUUACAGAACAGUCAAUCACAGGAACCCAACCUCUGCUCCUCCCAAAACACAAUUCUACUUACAAAAACAAUGGAAGCUGAAGACGGAAAGGAGGGUUGUUCUGUCGUCUGUUUUCUUCUUUCCCUGUCUGUUUUUCUGUGUCCCCCCCCCACAAAAACAUUAAGAAAGACUGUUUGGUGUAACUAUAGCCUUCAAGUAGUGACAACGACCUCGAGACUGCAUGAAAACUACUGUAAAGCUUCCACAACGUGUUUCGUAGGUGGUAGAAAAGCCAAGACACUUUGUCACUGUUGUUAGUCGACGGGGAAGACGAAGACCAGUGAAAGCAUCCAGACAUUAUAGCCGCAGAAAGAUUCAGAACAAAGUGCUAUAUUAUUUUAAUACAUUGUUGGAGGUUUUCAUCAUUUUUUUACGAAAAGCUGCAGCAUGACGUUAUUGAGUCUGUAAAUAGUAUAUCUAUAUAUAUAUAUAUACACAUACAUAUAUAUAUAUACAUAUAAUUAUUAUUAUUGUUACUAGGUGUGGACUCGGAACCAAGUCAUUUAUAAACCUCCAAUAUGUUA